rnacentral:rRNA from 1 species
UAAUACGUAGGGUGCAAGCGUUGUCCGGAAUUAUUGGGCGUAAAGAGCUCGUAGGCGGUUUGUCGCGUCUGCUGUGAAAUCUGGAGGCUCAACCUCCAGCCUGCAGUGGGUACGGGCAGACUAGAGUGCGGUAGGGGAGAUUGGAAUUCCUGGUGUAGCGGUGGAAUGCGCAGAUAUCAGGAGGAACACCGAUGGCGAAGGCAGAUCUCUGGGCCGUAACUGACGCUGAGGAGCGAAAGCAUGGGGAGCGAACAGGAUUAGAUACCCUGGUAGUCCAUGCCGUAAACGUUGGGAACUAGUUGUGGGGGCCAUUACACGGUCUCCGUGACGCAGCUAACGCACUAAGUUCCCCGCCUGGGGAGUACGGCCGCAAGGCUAAAACUCAAAGGAAUUGACGGGGGCCCGCACAAGCGGCGGAGCAUGCGGAUUAAUUCGAUGCAACGCGAAGAACCUUACCAAGGCUUGACAUAUACCGGAAACGGCGAGAGAUCGUCGCCCCGCAA